rnacentral:rRNA from 1 species
UACGUAGGGGGCGAGCGUUGUCCGGAUUUAUUGGGCGUAAAGAGCUCGUAGGCGGUGUGUCGCGUCGGCCGUGAAAACCUGCAGCUUAACUGUGGGCUUGCGGUCGAUACGGGCAUCACUGGAGUUCGGCAGGGGAGACUGGAAUUCUCGGUGUAGCGGUGAAAUGCGUAGAUAUCGAGAGGAACACCUGCGGCGAAGGCGGGUUGCUGGGCUGAUACUGACGCUGAGGCGCGAAAGCCAGGGAGCGAACGGG